UUUAUGGGGUGACUGCGUACCUUUUGUAUAAUGGGUCAGCGACUUAUAUUCUGUAGCAAGGUUAACCGAAUAGGGGAGCCGAAGGGAAACCGAGUCUUAACUGGGCGUUAAGUUGCAGGGUAUAGACCCGAAACCCGGUGAUCUAGCCAUGGGCAGGUUGAAGGUUGGGUAACACUAACUGGAGGACCGAACCGACUAAUGUUGAAAAAUUAGCGGAUGACUUGUGGCUGGGGGUGAAAGGCCAAUCAAACCGGGAGAUAGCUGGUUCUCCCCGAAAGCUAUUUAGGUAGCGCCUCGUGAAUUCAUCUCCGGGGGUAGAGCACUGUUUCGGCAAGGGGGUCAUCCCGACUUACCAACCCGAUGCAAACUGCGAAUACCGGAGAAUGUUAUCACGGGAGACACACGGCGGGUGCUAACGUCCGUCGUGAAGAGGGAAACAACCCAGACCGCCAGCUAAGGUCCCAAAGUCAUGGUUAAGUGGGAAACGAUGUGGGAAGGCCCAGACAGCCAGGAUGUUGGCUUAGAAGCAGCCAUCAUUUAAAGAAAGCGUAAUAGCUCACUGGUCGAGUCGGCCUGCGCGGAAGAUGUAACGGGGCUAAACCAUGCACCGAAGCUGCGGCAGCGACACUAUGUGUUGUUGGGUAGGGGAGCGUUCUGUAAGCCUGUGAAGGUGUACUGUGAGGUAUGCUGGAGGUAUCAGAAGUGCGAAUGCUGACAUAAGUAACGAUAAAGCGGGUGAAAAGCCCGCUCGCCGGAAGACCAAGGGUUCCUGUCCAACGUUAAUCGGGGCAGGGUGAGUCGACCCCUAAGGCGAGGCCGAAAGGCGUAGUCGAUGGGAAACAGGUUAAUAUUCCUGUACUUGGUGUUACUGCGAAGGGGGGACGGAGAAGGCUAUGUUGGCCGGGCGACGGUUGUCCCGGUUUAAGCGUGUAGGCUGGUUUUCCAGGCAAAUCCGGAAAAUCAAGGCUGAGGCGUGAUGACGAGGCACUACGGUGCUGAAGCAACAAAUGCCCUGCUUCCAGGAAAAGCCUCUAAGCAUCAGGUAACAUUAAAUCGUACCCCAAACCGACACAGGUGGUCAGGUAGAGAAUACCAAGGCGCUUGAGAGAACUCGGGUGAAGGAACUAGGCAAAAUGGUGCCGUAACUUCGGGAGAAGGCACGCUGAUAUGUAGGUGAAGCGACUUGCUCGUGGAGCUGAAAUCAGUCGAAGAUACCAGCUGGCUGCAACUGUUUAUUAAAAACACAGCACUGUGCAAACACGAAAGUGGACGUAUACGGUGUGACGCCUGCCCGGUGCCGGAAGGUUAAUUGAUGGGGUUAGCGGUAACGCGAAGCUCUUGAUCGAAGCCCCGGUAAACGGCGGCCGUAACUAUAACGGUCCUAAGGUAGCGAAAUUCCUUGUCGGGUAAGUUCCGACCUGCACGAAUGGCGUAAUGAUGGCCAGGCUGUCUCCACCCGAGACUCAGUGAAAUUGAACUCGCUGUGAAGAUGCAGUGUACCCGCGGCAAGACGGAAAGACCCCGUGAACCUUUACUAUAGCUUGACACUGAACAUUGAGCCUUGAUGUGUAGGAUAGGUGGGAGGCUUUGAAGUGUGGACGCCAGUCUGCAUGGAGCCGGCCUUGAAAUACCACCCUUUAAUGUUUGAUGUUCUAACGUUGGCCCCUGACCGGGGUUGCGGACAGUGUCUGGUGGGUAGUUUGACUGGGGCGGUCUCCUCCUAAAGAGUAACGGAGGAGCACGAAGGUUGGCUAAUCCUGGUCGGACAUCAGGAGGUUAGUGCAAUGGCAUAAGCCAGCUUGACUGCGAGCGUGACGGCGCGAGCAGGUGCGAAAGCAGGUCAUAGUGAUCCGGUGGUUCUGAAUGGAAGGGCCAUCGCUCAACGGAUAAAAGGUACUCCGGGGAUAACAGGCUGAUACCGCCCAAGAGUUCAUAUCGACGGCGGUGUUUGGCACCUCGAUGUCGGCUCAUCACAUCCUGGGGCUGAAGUAGGUCCCAAGGGUAUGGCUGUUCGCCAUUUAAAGUGGUACGCGAGCUGGGUUUAGAACGUCGUGAGACAGUUCGGUCCCUAUCUGCCGUGGGCGCUGGAGAACUGAGGGGGGCUGCUCCUAGUACGAGAGGACCGGAGUGGACGCAUCACUGGUGUUCGGGUUGUCAUGCCAAUGGCACUGCCCGGUAGCUAAAUGCGGAAGAGAUAAGUGCUGAAAGCAUCUAAGCACGAAACUUGCCCCGAGAUGAGUUCUCCCUGACUCCUUGAGAGUCCUGAAGGAACGUUGAAGACGACGACGUUGAUAGGCCGGGUGUGUAAGCGCAGCGAUGCGUUGAGCUAACCGGUACUAAUGAACCGUGAGGCUUAACCUU
rnacentral:rRNA from 1 species